rnacentral:rRNA from 1 species
UACGAAGGAGGCUAGCGUUGCUCGGAAUCACUGGGCGUAAAGGGUGCGUAGGCGGGUCUUUAAGUCAGGGGUGAAAUCCUGGAGCUCAACUCCAGAACUGCCUUUGAUACUGAAGAUCUUGAGUUCGGGAGAGGUGAGUGGAACUGCGAGUGUAGAGGUGAAAUUCGUAGAUAUUCGCAAGAACACCAGUGGCGAAGGCGGCUCUCUGGGACGGUACUGACGCUGAGACGCGAAAGCGUGGGGAGCGAACAGG